GACGAACGCUGGCGGCGUGCUUAACACAUGCAAGUCGAACGGAAAGGCCCUGCUUUUGUGGUGUGCUCGAGUGGCGAACGGGUGAGUAACACGUGAGUAACCUGCCCUUGACUUUGGGAGAACUUCAGGAAACUGGGGCUAAUACCGGAUAGGAGCUCCUGCUGCAUGGUGGGGGUUGGAAAGUUUCGGCGGUUGGGGAUGGACUCGCGGCUUAUCAGCUUGUUGGUGGGGUAGUGGCUUACCAAGGCUUUGACGGGUGGCCGGCCUGGGAGGGUGACCGGCCACAUUGGGACUGGGAUACGGCCCAGACUCAUACGGGAGGCAGCAGUGGGGAAUAUUGCAAAAUGGGCGGAAGCCUGAUGCAGCAACGCCGCGUGCGGGAUGACGGCCUUCGGGUUGUAAACCGCUUUCGCCUGUGACGAAGCGUGAGUGACGGUAAUGGGUAAAGAAGCACCGGCUAACUACGUG
rnacentral:rRNA from 1 species